rnacentral:rRNA from 1 species
GUAGUCUCGCACAGAUGCAUAUCAAUAAGCGGAGGAAAAGAAACUAACAAGGAUUCCCCUAGUAACGGCGAGUGAAGCGGGAAGAGCUCAAAUUUGAAAUCUUAAAGGGUUUCCCUUUACGAAUUGUAGUUUAAAGAAGUGUUUUCUGUUGAGGUUUUGGUAAAAGUUCUUUGGAAUAGGACAUCAUAGAGGGUGAGAAUCCCGUAUUUGACCUUUACUUUCAACUUUGUGAUACACUUUCAAAGAGUCGGAUUGUUUGGGAAUGCAGUCCAAAAUGGGUGGUAAAUUUCAUCUAAAGCUAAAUAUUGGCGAGAGACCGAUAGCGAACAAGUACCGUGAGGGAAAGAUGAAAAGAACUUUGAAAAGAGAGUUAAACAGUACGUGAAAUUGUCAAAAGGGAAGCGUUUGACACCAGUGUUGUUUUUCUGAAAAUCAAUUAAAGAACUGUUUAUGCUAAGUUGUUUAGACUUUAUCAGCUAUCUGUUUAGUUUUGAGCUUUUCUUUAAUGCACUUUUCAGUUAACAAGUCAACAUCAAUUUCUUUUGCUGUAAAAAAGCUUGAGGAAGGUGGCUUGAGAUUCGUCUUAAGUGUUUAUAGCCUCUUGCCUAUGCAGUCGGAGAGAUUGAGGUCUGCAGCGUAGAUCCUUCGGGGCUAAAUGCAUUUGUGCUAAGUUAUAGCAUUUUAUAGACAACUUGUUGACUAUGAUUUGUCUUGUAGCUUACUCGCUAUGUUAUUUUACCUACGCUUAGGAUGUUGACAGCAGUAUAGACUGU